rnacentral:misc_RNA from 1 species
GAAAUGGGGAGAUGUGGAGUCAUUGAGGUUGCAAAUGGAGACUUACUGUGAGAACGGGCUGCAGCCCUGGACACCAAGCAAGCUCCCAUAUACAACAGAUGUUCCUGAUACUGCAUUGAUAGCUCGGCGGCAUGGGGUCGGCAGUAAUCUUUUCUCCUGCCUCCUAUUCAAUGAGCUGGAGGCUUUCAAUCCAAGGGAUCAGCUGCCUUUCGCCUAUGUGAGGGAUCUGAUGAUCCCCAAGGUCAAGAUAAACAUGUUCGAGGUGGAGGUGUUCGAGCAGGUGGCUGUGGAGUACCGGCAUAACAUCAAACGUGAGGGCCCAUCGCUAUUACCAUUGCCAGCUCCUCAACAGAUCAAAAGGGCUUCGGCAAGGAAUAUUAGUGGGAGC